GACGAACGCUGGCGGCGUGCUUAACACAUGCAAGUCGAACGGUAAGGCCCUUCGGGGUACACGAGUGGCGAACGGGUGAGUAACACGUGGGUGAUCUGCCCUGCACUUCGGGAUAAGCCUGGGAAACUGGGUCUAAUACCGGAUAGGACCACUGCCUGCAUGGGUGGUGGUGGAAAGCUUUUGCGGUGUGGGAUGGGCCCGCGGCCUAUCAGCUUGGUGGUGGGGUGAUGGCCUACCAAGGCGACGACGGGUAGCCGGCCUGAGAGGGUGACCGGCCACACUGGGACUGAGAUACGGCGCAGACUCCUACGGGAGGCAGCAGUGGGGAAUAUUGCGCAAUGGGCGCAAGCCUGAUGCAGCGACGCCGCGUGAGGGAUGACGGCCUUCGGGUUGUAAACCUCUUUCAGCACCGACGAAGCGCAAGUGACGGUAGGUGCAGAAGAAGGACCGGCCAACUACGUGCCAGCCGCCGCAGUAA
rnacentral:rRNA from 1 species